GACGAACGCUGGCGGCGUGCUUAACACAUGCAAGUCGAACGGAAAGGCCCCUUUGGGGGUCCUCGAGUGGCGCACGGGUGAGUAACACGUGAGUAACCUGCCCUUGACUUCGGGAUAACUUCAGUAAACUGGGGCUAAUACCGGAUAGGAAUCUUUGCUGCAUGGUGGGGGUUGGAAAGCUUCGGCGGUUUUGGUUUGACUCGCGGCUUAUCAGCUUGUUGGUGGGGUAGUGGCUUACCAAGGCGUUGACGGGUAGCCGGCCUGAGAGGGCGACCGGCGACAUUGGGACUGAGAGGCGGCCCAGACUCCUACGGGAGGGAGCAGGGGGGAAGAUUGACCAAGGGGCGGAAGCCUGAUGCAGCAACGCCGCGUGCGGGAUGACGGCCUUCGGGUUGUAAAACGCAUUCAGCAGGGGCGAAGCUUGUGGUGACGGUACCUGCAGAAGAAGCACCGGCUAACUACGUG
rnacentral:rRNA from 1 species